GAAAGUCGCUUUGAAAAUGCUUUUGUCUUGUAUGGCAGCUUCCUCAAUCAACUGCGUAAAGCUCGAGAAAAUACUGCCAAAAGGCUAGGCUAGAUAAUAAGUUUUUAUAAAAGAAACAUGUCUUUAUGGGACCCAUAACAUUGAAGCAAUACAAAAGUUAGAAAUGAGAGUCAAAUCUGACAAUCGUUAUCUACGCGAAACGCCCCUUAUUAAAUGAUACUUGAUCGUGACGUCAUGAUUAAGUUUAAUGCGUUUUAUUUGCAUUGCAUUUACAAAAAGAGGAGCUUUCGAGUUUCGAGGAUUAUGUUUUUAAAAUACGUGUAUAUUACGUAGGUUUGUUUGUAUUGAUUUUUUGAUUCUAGAAAUAAUAGUUGUAUGUAACCUUAAUAUGUAUGUAGGUAAGUACUAAGUACAUAAAAGGUACCGAAAUAGGUCAGAAGAGCAGUAAAUUCAAUAUUACUAUACAGUAUAUCCAAAAAGAGCGCUAUGAUAAGUAAAAGUUCCUUUUUAGGGUUCAGUACCCAAAGGGUAAAACGGGAGCCUAUUACUAAGACUCCGCUGUCAGUACGUCUAUCCGUCUGUCACCAGGCUGUAUCUCGUAAACCGUGAUAGUUAGUUGAUAUUUUCACAGAUGAUGUAUUACUGUUGCCGCAAUAACAAGAAAUACUAAAAACUACGGUACCCUAGAUGGGCGAGUCCGGCUCGCAUUUGUCUGGUAUUAUUUAAAUAUAGGAGGCAAAUGAGGAAAGCCCAUGAACAGAGGUCGUACCUAUCAUAGGAUAAGUAGAUAUAUAUAUACAAAGAAACAGCGGUAUGUUAAGUAGAUUUUUUUUAUAUAGUAGGCAAACGAGCAGAGCCCAUGAACAGAGGUCAUACUCGUAUCAUAGAAUUGGUAGAUAUGUACAAAGAAACAGCGCUAUGUUAAGUAGAAUCGUUUUUUUUUUUUAAGUAGGAGCUAAACGAGCAGAACUCAUGAACAGAGGUCGUAUCAUAAGAUUUGUAGAUAUGUACAUAGAAAUGGCGCUAUGUUAAGUAGAAGUAUUUUUUUAAAUAUAGGAGGCAAAUGAGCAGAGCCCAUGAACAGAGGUUGUAUCAUAGGAUAAGUAGAUAUGUACAAAGAAAUGGCACUAUGUUAAGGAGAUUUUUUUUUUUAAUAUAUGAGGCAAACGAGCAGUGCCCACGAACAGAGCUCGUAUCAGAAGAUUUAUAGAGAUGUACAAAGGAAUGGCGUUAUGUUAAGUAGAAGUAUUUUUUUUAAAUAUAGGAGGCAAACGAGCAGAACCCAUGAACAGAGCUCAUAUCAUAAGAUUUGUAGAGAUGUACGAAGGAAUGGCGUUAUGUUAAGUAGAAGUAUUUUUUUAAAUACAGGAGGCAAACGAGCAGAGCCCAUGAACAGAGGUCGUAUCAUAAGAUUUGUAGAUAUGUACAUAGAAAUGGCGCUAUGUUAAGUAGAAGUAUUUUUUAAAAUAUAGGAGGCAAAUGAGCAGAGCCCAUGAACAGAGGUUGUAUCAUAGGAUAAGUAGAUAUGUACAAAGAAAUGGCACUAUGUUAAGUAGAAUUUAUUUUUUUUAAUAUAGGAGGCAAACGAGCAGAGCCCACGAACAGAGCUCGUAUCAGAAGAUUUAUAGAGAUGUACAAAGGAAUGGCGUUAUGUUAAGUAGAAGUAUUUUUUUUAAUAUAGGAGGCAAACGAGCAGAACCCAUGAACAGAGCUCAUAUCAUAAGAUUUGUAGAGAUGUACAAAGGAAUGGCGUUAUGUUAAGUAGAAGUAUUUUUUUAAAUACAGGAGGCAAACGAGCAGAGCCCAUGAACAGAGGUCGUAUCUUAAGAUUUGUAGAUAUGUACAUAGAAAUGGCGCUAUGUUAAGUAGAAGUAUUUUUUUAAAUAUAGGAGGCAUAAGAUCAGAGCCCAUGAACAGAGCUCGUAUCAGAAGAUUUAUAGAGAUGUACAAAGGAAUGGCGUUAUGUUAAGUAGAAGUAUUUUUUUAAAUAUAGGAGGCAAACGAGCAGAACCCAUGAACAGAGCUCAUAUCAUAAGAUUUGUAGAAAUGUACAAAGGAAUGUAUGACCUAUUAUUCACCUCGUAAAUUAUUUGCAGGUGACUAAAUAAACACCCUGUAUAUAUUUGUUGUUGUAUCAACAAAUCAAGCAUUUACAUUAAAAAAGUGAGUGACAUUUAAUUAAGUGGAACUGCUGAUGAAGACCAGACCAGACACCUCAACUACGCGUAUUUCACGUUUGGCGAUAUCUUCUUCGUUACGAUUGUUCUGCAAGUUAUUUUUUAAGCUUCAUUUUAGUCAAGAUCUAUUUCUGAUAAUGGAUCCCAGGAAUAAUGGAUGAAACUCUUCAAAUAUUUUACAUAUAGUAUCUUUUUAUAUUUGCAUUUAAACAGUGCUAUUUGGUGAAACAAACGUGUCCAUGAAGAUUAGAAUAUAACUUCUCCUUGACAAGUAUUUUACGAGUUAGGGCUUAGGUAUAUUAUAUGGGCUUACCUAUGGGCUAUUGUUUUUCAUUCAAUAGUUUACAUAUGUGAAAGAGAAAGUAUAACAAUAUGCUUGUUAGACUAAAAUAGCUUUAGUUUUGUUAAUUUCAAAAACUUAGUAGGUGAUAAUUAUAACAUAGGUAUAGAAUCUUCAAAAAUAAAACAGUAGAUACAAAGCAGGUGUUAUUGGCCCGUCUUUAUAUAUAGAAAAUCGAUGGCAUGAUUCCUAGGAACAGAUCUUCGUAUGUGUUAUAGUUUCAAACUUUCCCAUACUGAACGAUCUAAAUAGGCCACCAUGUAUACCCUACGGAACAUUUUAUUUCGUUGGAUGAAUUUAGGGUGUAGGGGAGAAACUACCCAAUUAUGAGCUACUUACUGAAAACUAUCAUUAAUAGACAAUUGUAAGGAUAUUUAACAUUGCCAAAAUAAGGUUAAAGGUGCCCUCUAGUAGUACUUAGUCGAUAUUGUGAUACAAUGAAUGGUAUUAUAAACAUUUUUCUUUUUUCAUAUACUAUGGACAUUCCUCGAUGGCACCAAGCUGCAACUGGAAAGCGAUGAUCACACGGCAAAUAAAAUCGUGAAGACUGUAGCAGCCACGUCUAAGGAGGAUGAAUGUAUCCACAUUCAAUAUUUUUUAUUUAUUUUUUGUUUGAUAUGUAAAAAUGCACGUCAAUAAGGUGGCAAACUAUUAUUAACAGAGACCGGAAUUAUUGUGGCAUUCUUGAACUGUCAUAGAGAGUUCUCAUUUAUCGACUUCGGGUACACAUAUAUCGAUACAACGUAGAACACAAAAUAUUAAAAAGUUAUAAAGUUAA